rfam:Oryzias latipes mitochondrial DNA, complete genome.
GCACGAGAAGCUCAAUUGUAAGAGCACCGGUCUUGUAAAUCGGGGGUCGAAGGUUAAAGUCCUUCCUUGUGCU